rnacentral:rRNA from 1 species
UUGUUGGAGAGUUUGAUCCUGGCUCAGGACGAACGCUGGCGGCGUGCUUAACACAUGCAAGUCGAACGCUGAUCCACUUUCGGGUGGUGAUGAGUGGCGAACG